GGGCGGCUGAGCCAAGAGGGACGUGGCGCUCUGCGACGCGGGCGGGGAAACCGCGCCCCUUCCUUUUCGAGCGUUGUGGAGCAAGAUUUGGGCGGGAUCCCACGGAACAAGAACUGGCAAGUUUUUCAUUGUGUUCAGAAGAGGGGAGAGGGAGACGGUAGUACUUACAAGAGACAAUUGCUUUGGCUGUUCAGGGUCUUUUGUGGUUACACAUGUGGACGAAACUGGGAGUCCUCUCUAUUGUCUAACAGGUGAAUUGAGCAAGCAAGCUGCAUAGGCUUAAAGUCAGUACAGAAAUCCAUGCUGUACUGUGAAGCAGCCAUGCAGGCCUCAUAAGCCUGUGUCUAAAUGACCUUGAAACCCCUCAUCUGAGGACUGAAGAUGCCAGCAGGAUGAAUCAGCAACAGGAAAGAGAAACUCUAGGAGGACUGGGAACCCAGGAUUGGUGGUUCUGUAGCCAGGAACAAAGCCCAAAAGCACACCCUAGAGCUGAGCUGGUGAAGACGCCACAGUGGCCACUAGGCCCAAACACUGUAGCUCGUGUCAGGGAUCCCCCAACCUGACACUGGAUGCCUGCCUCUGGAUCCACUGCCACUGCUACUCUGGGAACUGGAUGGAGCUGAGGGGACUGCAGCCGCCUUACUAGAAGAGAUUCCACACAGCCCCUGCUUCUUUACGUCUGUAACUUCACACCCACCAUCGUUUUCUGAGGAACCUGCCUCACCCAGCCCACUACUGAGGGAACGUGUGGGAGUCAAGCUAUUCUAUAAACAGAGGUGGCUACUGGUUGGACCAGCCAUGGGACCUGAUUCGAGAACCACAAACCCACAGACUGGCCUGUGAGAAUGAGAUUGCUCAGCCGUCAAAGCUCUGACCAAUCGGCAUAAUGAAAGCUAUUUGAAUCAAUUUGGCUCUACUUCUGAAAUCUGAAAUUUGAGAAAAUAUUGAAAGACUCACUGGUUGGCAGCAGGGGGAGAUAUGAGAAGACACACGAGGAGAAACAGAGAUAAGAGAGAUGAAAAACUCCCAUUAAUAAUGGGAUAAUAAAUGACAAGGGAUAGUGAAAUAACCUCAGCCCCAGGCUAGCCUUGCAUUCUGAAGGAUGGCUGCUCUGAGAUUUCUGUGAAAUUCUCUUUCCCUCAGUGCUACAUGUAUCCUGCUUGAGUGAUGAC
rnacentral:lncRNA from 1 species